UACGUAGGGGGCAAGCGUUGUCCGGAUUUAUUGGGCGUAAAGAGCGUGUAGGCGGCCAUACAGGUCAGCUGUGAAAACUCGAGGCUCAACCUCGAGACGUCGGUUGAAACCGUAUGGCUAGAGUCCGGAAGAGGAGAGUGGAAUUCCCGGUGUAGCGGUGAAAUGCGCAGAUAUCGGGAAGAACACCUAUGGCGAAGGCAGCUCUCUGGGACGGUACUGACGCUGAGGCACGAAAGCGUGGGGAGCAAACAGG
rnacentral:rRNA from 1 species